CAAAAAAUAGUAAAAUUAGUUAUUUUUUAUAUUAAAUUUCUAACUUUUGAUAUAUUUAUAUUUAACGAGGAAAGUGUCCGGACUCUCGAACGACUUUCCUGAACGUAAUAAUCGUUUCAAAACAGUAAAAAAAGCAUGGUACGAUGUAUAUGUAUACACGCGUUAAUACAAGGUUUCACCUUGCGUAGGAGAUUUUCACACGGUGGAGUGAACACGAAUCAAACGUUAGAAUAUGUCUGUUUAUUAUGUGAACAUUGUUUUUCCAUAAUGAUAUAUUUUAUUUAAAAUAAUACUUUGAUAAUAAAUUUAAAGUAUAAUAAUAACUGUAAUUAAUAUUCAACAUUUAUUUCAUUUCAAUCAUGAAAUUAUCAUUAAAUAAAUGCUUAAACAACUAUGAAUAGUUGCUUCAAAAAUAUCACAUCGAUGUGAUACUAAUAUUCAAAUGGGCCUUUUUGUAACAUUUACAUAUUUCUUUCUUUUCGGUGGUCGAGUCGCGGAGGACGGGAAUAAAAGAAGUUCGAAGAAACACGAGGUUUCUGACAUUUCCAUACAAUGGCGGGAAAAAUACGGUACGGGAUUGCGAGAUAUCCGGCGAUGGGCCAUGCUUGAUAACGAAGCCAGGACGCGCGAGAUGUUGAAAGAAUCAUGUGUUUAUCAUUUGAAUCGGUCGCCAUGCAUUCUAACUGUCGUUGUCAUUAAAGUCAUCGCCAGAAAUUUACUCUUAUCAAUGAUUGAAGUAAAAUUGCUAAAUAUUUCGAAAACUUUUAAAUACUGACUCAUUUAACGCUAGAAUCACUAACCUACAAUAUCGUUUGUUUGCAGAAUGAUGACAUAACCUAAAAGUUACAAUUUUAAGGAAAACAAUUUUGAAUGUUUUGAAUUGCAUUUUAUUAUAUUUGUUAAAAUUGAUAUCAAUUACUAUUAUCCUAUUUAACAUAAAUUUAUCAUUUGUUAAUUUCAAAUUAAAUAAUUAUUUAGUUGAUAUGUAAAAAGAUAUCAUGCAAAAAGAUAAAACAAGCCAAGUCCUAAUUUCCCUUCUUAUUUAUUCUAACAUAAAAACAAUUUUUUCUUAUUAGUCUCUAUAGAUGUAAACCUUUACCUGAUAAAAUAUUUAUCUCCAACCACUCAUCAUAAAUCAACAAUAAUCAUAAAUAAACAUCAUAAAUCACAUUUUAUGCAUCAUAAAUUAUUAAAUAAAUUCAUAUAUGAUGGAAUCAUGCGUUGAUUUCUCUAAUUGCAGAAUCGCAAAAAAACUGGUAAUGUUUUUUAAUGUUUUUAAAAUUAAAUAAAAUGGUAUCGCAAAAGAGGUUAGGACGAUGUUUUGUCUAUGGUUUCUUUAACUAGGGUUUCUUUCAGUGUCGAGAAUCGAAAGCCACAUAAGGGAAUUUGUACAGAAAGUUGAAAUUUUCAGUUAGGGACCUAAGCGGAUGGGGUUCCGCAUGGUCGCUCAGCUUGAACCGUCCACUGGCUGAAUACUAUCAUGACGUCACUCGCUACGGUCACUGCCUGAAUUAUUCAGUAAAAUGAAUAAAGAUCCCCUAGGACAGAAACGUCUAAAGGAAAUCCUGCCUUGAGCGAGGGUGAAGAGGGUGCAACCCAUGGGGUGUAAGAUUCUAUAGUGUAUGUAUGAAAAAACCAAUUAAGAAGAUUUAGAAUAAAACUUGUUGUUUUAAGUCUUCUUUUCAAUCAAUUUUUGCAACGAAUAUUAACUUUUCAAUUUAAUUUUUGUUCCAGAUUGUAACCUAGUCCUAUAAUUUAAUUUAAUAAUCAAGAUU